rnacentral:rRNA from 1 species
UACGUAGGGAGCAAGCGUUGUUCGGAUUUACUGGGCGUAAAGGGCGCGUAGGCGGCGCGGUAAGUCACUUGUGAAAUCUCUGAGCUUAACUCAGAACGGCCAAGUGAUACUGCAGUGCUAGAGUGCAGAAGGGGCAAUCGGAAUUCUUGGUGUAGCGGUGAAAUGCGUAGAUAUCAAGAGGAACACCUGAGGUGAAGACGGGUUGCUAGGCUGACACUGACGCUGAGGCGCGAAAGCCAGGGGAGCAAGCGGG